rnacentral:hammerhead_ribozyme from 1 species
AUCCAGCUGACAAGUCCCAAAUAGGACGAAAUUCGCGUUAUCCUGGAU